rnacentral:rRNA from 1 species
AACGAACGCUGGCGGCAGGCCUAACACAUGCAAGUCGAGCGCCCCAGCGAUGGGGAGCGGCGGACGGGUGAGUAACGCGUGGGAACGUGCCUCUUGCUACGGAAUAGCCUCGGGAAACUGGGAGUAAUACCGUAUGUGCCCUACGGGGGAAAGAUUUAUCGGCAAGAGAUCGGCCCGCGUUGGAUUAGGUAGUUGGUGGGGUAAUGGCCUACCAAGCCGACGAUCCAUAGCUGGUUUGAGAGGAUGAUCAGCCACACUGGGACUGAGACACGGCCCAGACUCCUACGGGAGGCAGCAGUUGGGGGAAUCUUAGACAAUGGGCGCAAGCCUGAUCUAGCCAUGCCGCGUGAGCGAUGAAGGCCUUAGGGUUGUAAAGCUCUUUCAGUGGGGAAGAUAAUGACUGUACCCACAGAAGAAGCCCCGGCCUAACUCCGUGCAGCAGCCGCGGUAAAGUACAGUGU